UAAAGAUCUCAGAUGUCAGUUA
rnacentral:siRNA from 1 species